AACGAACGCUGGCGGCAGGCCUAACACAUGCAAGUCGAACGAGGACUUCGGUCCUAGCGGCGGACGGGUGAGUAACGCGUGGGAACGUGCCCUUUGCUUCGGAAUAGCCCUGGGAAACUGGGAGUAAUACCGGAUGAGCCCUUUGGGGGAAAGAUUUAUCGGCGAAGGAUCGGCCCGCGUUGGAUUAGGUAGUUGGUGGGGUAAUGGCCUACCAAGCCGACGAUCCAUAGCUGGUUUGAGAGGAUGAUCAGCCACACUGGGACUGAGACACGGCCCAGACUCCUACGGGAGGCAGCAGUGGGGAAUCUUAGACAAUGGGGGAAACCCUGAUCUAGCCAUGCCGCGUGAGCGAUGAAGGCCUUAGGGUUGUAAAGCUCUUUCAGCUGGGAAGAUAAUGACGGUACCAGCAGAAGAAGCCCCGGCUAACUCCGUG
rnacentral:rRNA from 1 species